ACGGGACCCGCACAAGCGGUGGAUGAUGUGGAUUAAUUCGAUGCAACGCGAAGAACCUUUACCUACCCUUGACAUGUCCGGAACUUGCCAGAGAUGGCUUGGUGCCGAAAGGGAAUCGGAACACAGGUGCUGCAUGGCUGUCGUCAGCUCGUGUCGUGAGAUGUUGGGUUAAGUCCCGCAACGAGCGCAACCCUUAUCAUUAGUUGCUACGCAAGGGCACUCUAAUGAGACUGCCGGUGACAAACCGGAGGAAGGUGGGGAUGACGUCAAGUCCUCAUGGCCCUUAUGGGUAGAGCUUCACACGUCAUACAAUGGUCGGUACAGAGGGUUGCCAAGCCGCGAGGCGGAGCCAAUCCCACAAAGCCGAUCGUAGUCCGGAUUGUUCUCUGCAACUCGAGAGCAUGAAGUCGGAAUCGCUAGUAAUCGCAGGUCAGCAUACUGCGGUGAAUACGUUCCCGGGUCUU
rnacentral:rRNA from 1 species